GCCUGGGUGGCUCAGUCGGUUAAGCGUCCGACUUCAGCUCAGGUCGUGAUCUCGCGGUCCGUGGGUUCGAGCCCCGCGUCGGGCU
rfam:Felis catus isolate Cinnamon breed Abyssinian chromosome F2, whole genome shotgun sequence.